rnacentral:rRNA from 1 species
CCUAUGAAUAAUUUAAAUGGCCGCAGUAUUUUGACUGUGCAAAGGUAGCAUAAUCAUUUGUCUUUUAAUUGGGGACUGGAAUGAAAGAGGCGACGAACUCUAGACUAUUGGGUUGUAUUAUAAAAUUGACAUAAAAGUCAAAAGGCUUUUAUGAACCAGGGGGACGAUAAGACCCUAUAAAACUUUACUGUGUGGGAGGGUAAAUAGGCGAAGCCUUAAUUCCACAGUUUAGCUGGGGCGGCUUAUAUAUAAACAAUUAUAGAAGAAAUAUAUUAGGUAGAAUUUAGGAUCUCUUGUGAGAAAUAAAUAAGUUACUUUAGGGAUAACAGCAUAAUCCCCCCAGAGAGUUCUAAUUGGCGGGGGGGCUUAUGACCUCGAUGUUGAAUUGAGAAGUCUAGUAUAAGCAGAAAUAUACCAAGGGAGUCUGUUCGACUUUUAAACUCUC